AACGGUCUAUACCUGCGGUACCUGCGGAGGGAUCAUUACCGAGUUCAUGCCCUCACGGGUAGAUCUCCCACCCUUGUGUAUUCUAUGUUUGUGUUGCUUUGGCAGGCCGUGGGCCUCGCCCACCACCGGCUCUCGGGCUGGUGCGCGCCUGCCAGAGGACUCUUUAAACUCUGUUUGUUAGUGUCGUCUGAGUAUGAUAACAAUCGUUAAAACUUUCAACAAUGGAUCUCUAGAUCGGAA
rnacentral:misc_RNA from 1 species